rnacentral:misc_RNA from 1 species
GAACCACUCAAUUUCGAAUUUGAUUUUGGCAACCCUAAUGAAAAUUUUUACGUUUUCAUGCACUUUGCUGAAGUUGAAAGGGUCCAAAUGAAUCAAUCUAGAGAAUUCAACAUUAGUUUAAAUGAUCUGGUGUUAGGAGAAGUUGUUGUACUCCAGUACCUGCGCUCUAAAACUAUAACCCUGAAGCCGGUGAGAGGAGCUAAGCUUAGCUUCUCUCUCUAUAAGUUGGCAAAUUCUACCCUUCCGCCCAUUUUGAAUGCACUGGAAAUAUAUCUAGAGAAAAUUUUCUGGCAGCAGCCAACAAACCAAGAAGAUGCAAAUGCAAUUGAAGACAUCAAGUCAACAUAUAACGUGGUUAAAGGUUGGCAAGGAGAUCCGUGCUUACCUCAUCCAUCUUGGGAUGGCUUGAAUUGCAAUAAAAAUGGCUAUCAUCCCCCAAGAAUUAUUUCCCUGAAUUUGUCAUCAAGUGGUUUAAC